CGAACGCUGGCGGCAGGCCUAAUACAUGCAAGUCGAACGGCUCUUCGGAGCAGUGGCGGACGGGUGAGUAACGCGUGGGAAUGUGCCCUUAGGUACGGAACAACACAGGGAAACUUGUGCUAAUACCGUAUGUGCCCUUCGGGGGAAAGAUUUAUCGCCUUUGGAGCAGCCCGCGUUGGAUUAGGUAGUUGGUGAGGUAAAGGCUCACCAAGCCGACGAUCCAUAGCUGGUCUGAGAGGAUGACCAGCCACACUGGGACCGAGACACGGCCCAGACUCCUACGGGAGGCAGCAGUAGGGAAUCUUGCGCAAUGGGCGAAAGCCUGACGCAGCCAUGCCGCGUGUAUGAUGAAGGUCUUAGGAUUGUAAAAUACUUUCACCGGGGAAGAUAAUGACGGUACCCGGAGAAGAGGCCCCGGCUAACUUCGUGCCAGCAGCCGCCGUAACAC
rnacentral:rRNA from 1 species